UAUGAGAAUCAAACUCAGAGUACCUCAAACAGAGCCACUGGUGAUUCUUGUGUUCACAAGUGCUUCUCUUUGGGGUUGUCU
rnacentral:pre_miRNA from 1 species